AACGUAGGGGGCAAGCGUUGCCCGGAUUCACUGGGCGUAAAGCGGGUGUAGGCGGUUCCUUAAGUCAGAUGUGAAAUCCUGCGGCUCAACCGCGGAACUGCAUCUGAUACUGGGGAACUUGAGGACGGUAGAGGUCGGUGGAAUACCCUGUGUACCGGUGAAAUGGGCAGAUAUAGGGUGGAACACCAGUGGCGAAGGCGGCCGACUGGGCCGAUCCUGACGCUGAGACCCGAAAGCCAGGGUAGCGAACAGG
rnacentral:rRNA from 1 species